GAUGAACGCUGGCGGCGUGCCUAAUACAUGCAAGUCGAGCGAACAGACGAGGAGCUUGCUCCUUCGACGUUAGCGGCGGACGGGUGAGUAACACAUAGGUAACCUACCUAUAAGACUGGGAUAACUUCGGGAAACCGGAGCUAAUACCGGAUAAUAUUUCGAACCGCAUGGUUCGAUAGUGAAAGAUGGCUUUGCUAUCACUUAUAGAUGGACCUGCGCCGUAUUAGCUAGUUGGUAAGGUAACGGCUUACCAAGGCAACGAUACGUAGCCGACCUGAGAGGGUGAUCGGCCACACUGGAACUGAGACACGGUCCAGACUCCUACGGGAGGCAGCAGUAGGGAAUCUUCCGCAAUGGGCGAAAGCCUGACGGAGCAACGCCGCGUGAGUGAUGAAGGUCUUCGGAUCGUAAAACUCUGUUAUUAGGGAAGAACAAACGUGUAAGUAACUGUGCACGUCUUGACGGUACCUAAUCAGAAAGCCACGGCUAACUACGUG
rnacentral:rRNA from 1 species